CAACUCUAACAUCUAUGAAUGUGAAAAAGGAACUAAUGCUAUAACCACUAAACUGAUGUUCAGGCCUGCGUGCAUCUUCACUAAUUCCACGGGGACUCUACUAUCUCCCGAUAACACACGUACCGGGUAACUUAGAACACCAAGACUCGCUAAACUUCCGAGUAUUACAAGCUGGAGAUUUGAUCGGAACCUAUGACCAAAAAGUUGAGUUCCUGCAGUGGACGGAAAAUGACUCCGACAAUCCAAUAGCGUCGUGUACCCUAAGCCUAGUACCUUGUUGUCCUACCACUACGGAUGCAACUUUGGACGCUAUGGAACCCAUGUUUUUCAAAUCAGACACACCCCUCAAUAUUCCAUACAAAAUACCUGAUGCAUAAGCAUCCCCUGCGCCACAGGUAUCCACGGGCGUGCAUGGUGAUGGAGGAAUAUAGAUAGCUUCCCCUUUUACACCAAUGUAAGAACCUUUUGGCCCAUCUGUGACAGAAACUAAAGGGACGAAAUGGCUCAGGUACCUUGUAGCAGAAAGGGGACUUUCAUUUGAUGAAAAGUGACAGAAAGCUUUUGCUUCUUCGCUGUUCGCAAAUACUAUAUCUGCAUAAUUUGCCAUGAUUUCCCAGUAAUCAUCAUAAUGUCUCUCAAUG
rnacentral:misc_RNA from 1 species